ACCUACUGUUUAAUUUUGAGGGUUCGUUUUUACGAAUACUCAAAAUUAGCACUUUAAGCACUUUGAAAACUGCAUAGGUGUUUUGUGAUAUGACAUCUGAAAUCGGAAUAUAUAAAGAUGAGAACUAUUUCAAAUUAUGGAAAUUGAUAGCUGAUAAUCUAUCAAAACUUUUUAACUGGACAA
rnacentral:misc_RNA from 1 species